AUCAUACUGUGAAACUGCGAAUGGCUCAUUAAAUCAGUUAUAAUUUAUUUGAUAGUACCUUUUCACAUGGAUAACUGUGGUAAUUCUAGAGCUAAUACAUGCUAAAAACCUCGACUUCGGAAGGGGUGUAUUUAUUAGACUAAAAACCAAUGCCCUUCGGGGCUCCUUGGUGAUUCAUGAUAACUUAUCGAAUCGCAUGGCCUUGCGCCGGCGAUGGUUCAUUCAAAUUUCUGCCCUAUCAACUUUCGAUGGUAAGAUAGAGGCUUACCAUGGUGUCGACGGGUAACGGGGAAUUAGGGUUCGAUUCCGGAGAGGGAGCCUGAGAAACGGCUACCACAUCCAAGGAAGGCAGCAGGCGCGCAAAUUACCCAAUCCCAAUCCGGGGAGGUAGUGACGAUAAAUACUGAUGCAGAGCUCUUUUGGGUUUUGCAAUUGGAAUGAGUACAAUCUAAAUCCCUUAACGAGGAACAAUUGGAGGGCAAGUCUGGUGCCAGCAGCCGCGGUAAUUCCAGCUCCAAUAGCGUAUAUUAAAGUUGUUGCGGUUAAAAAGCUCGUAGUUGAACCUUGGGUUUGGCUGGCCGGUCCGCCUCACCGCGUGUACUGGUCCGGCCGAACCUUUCCUUCUGGGGAAUCUCAUGCCCUUCACUGGGUGUGUUGGGGAACCAGGACUUUUACUUUGAAAAAAUUAGAGUGUUCAAAGCAGGCCUAUGCUCGAAUACAUUAGCAUGGAAUAAUAGAAUAGGACGGCAGUUCUAUUUUGUUGGUUUCUAGGACCGCCGUAAUGAUUAAUAGGGAUAGUCGGGGGCAUCAGUAUUGAAUUGUCAGAGGUGAAAUUCUUGGAUUUAUUCAAGACUAACUACUGCGAAAGCAUUUGCCAAGGAUGUUUUCAUUAAUCAGUGAACGAAAGUUAGGGGAUCGAAGACGAUCAGAUACCGUCGUAGUCUUAACCAUAAACUAUGCCAACUAGCGAUCGGAUGGUGUUUUAUUUUUGACCCAUUCGGCAGCUUGUGAGAAAUCAAAGUUUUCGGGUUCCGGGGGGAGUACGGUCCAGAUUGAACUAA
rnacentral:rRNA from 1 species